rnacentral:rRNA from 1 species
GGAUCAGUGGCGAACGGGUGAGUAACACGUGAGCAACCUGCCCCUGACUCUGGGAUAAGCGCUGGAAACGGCGUCUAAUACUGGAUAUGUGACGUGACCGCAUGGUCUGCGUUUGGAAAGAUUUUUCGGUUGGGGAUGGGCUCGCGGCCUAUCAGCUUGUUGGUGAGGUAAUGGCUCACCAAGGCGUCGACGGGUAGCCGGCCUGAGAGGGUGACCGGCCACACUGGGACUGAGACACGGCCCAGACUCCUACGGGAGGCAGCAGUGGGGAAUAUUGCACAAUGGGCGAAAGCCUGAUGCAGCAACGCCGCGUGAGGGAUGACGGCCUUCGGGUUGUAAACCUCUUUUAGCAGGGAAGAAGCGAAAGUGACGGUACCUGCAGAAAAAGCGCCGGCUAACUACGUGCCAGCAGCCGCGGUAAUACGUAGGGCGCAAGCGUUAUCCGGAAUUAUUGGGCGUAAAGAGCUCGUAGGCGGUUUGUCGCGUCUGCUGUGAAAUCCCGAGGCUCAACCUCGGGCCUGCAGUGGGUACGGGCAGACUAGAGUGCGGUAGGGGAGAUUGGAAUUCCUGGUGUAGCGGUGGAAUGCGCAGAUAUCAGGAGGAACACCGAUGGCGAAGGCAGAUCUCUGGGCCGUAACUGACGCUGAGGAGCGAAAGGGUGGGGAGCAAACAGGCUUAGAUACCCUGGUAGUCCACCCCGUAAACGUUGGGAACUAGUUGUGGGGUCCAUUCCACGGAUUCCGUGACGCAGCUAACGCAUUAAGUUCCCCGCCUGGGGAGUACGGCCGCAAGGCUAAAACUCAAAGGAAUUGACGGGGACCCGCACAAGCGGCGGAGCAUGCGGAUUAAUUCGAUGCAACGCGAAGAACCUUACCAAGGCUUGACAUAUACGAGAACGGGCCAGAAAUGGUCAACUCUUUGGACACUCGUAAACAGGUGGUGCAUGGUUGUCGUCAGCUCGUGUCGUGAGAUGUUGGGUUAAGUCCCGCAACGAGCGCAACCCUCGUUCUAUGUUGCCAGCACGUAAUGGUGGGAACUCAUGGGAUACUGCCGGGGUCAACUCGGAGGAAGGUGGGGAUGACGUCAAAUCAUCAUGCCCCUUAUGUCUUGGGCUUCACGCAUGCUACAAUGGCCGGUACAAAGGGCUGCAAUACCGUGAGGUGGAGCGAAUCCCAAAAAGCCGGUCCCAGUUCGGAUUGAGGUCUGCAACUCGACCUCAUGAAGUCGGAGUCGCUAGUAAUCGCAGAUCAGCAACGCUGCGGUGAAUACGUUCCCGGGUCUUGUACACACCGCCCGUCAAGUCAUGAAAGUCGGUAACACCUGAAGCCGGUGGCCUAACCC